CGCAAGCGCAAAUAAAGCUCAGUCUUGUAUGUGCAGAAAGGUUUUAAGCAAACCAAAAAUACCGGAUCUUGAGGACUUGCAGUGAACGCAAAGAUAUAGCAAAAUCAAACACCACUCACGAAUGUCGCAUCGUUAAAAUUGAAGAGGAUUAGAGUUCAACAUGGCGACGAGAACACACCAAAUGUAAAGCCUAGACCACAGAAGGGAAUUUCAAUAAAAUCCUAGAAAUUUUCCUUGUGUUUGAAAAAUAGACUAGACCUGAAUUUGCCACCAUUUCAAGUACGUGUGUCUUGGAAGCAAUUGUGAAUGUUGUAUGCUUUUAGUAUACCGAGGAGGCACCUGCCAAGAAAAUAAAGCACAAAGUGAUUAACAUGUUCAGUUUUGUAACUUCACAGAAGGUGUCAAAGUCAAAUGUGCUGAAUAUGCUCAUAUUUUUGCACAAAUGAAAGAGAAAAGAAGGUGAAGUCCCUGGAGUUGCAGGUCUAUGCUAAGAACUUAAGGUCCAUGGAAAAGAUGGAAAAUGUCGAGCUCAUCUUGGAACAAGGACAGUAAACAAGGACUUUCAUUUAGGAUAUUCAUAGAAGAAUAAUGGCCAAUUUUUUUGGAAAGGACAUGCCUGAAUCGUGAAUAGAAGUUUUACAAGUAAAUUUUCCAUUGUUCCAUGUCGCCUAUUUAGGUGAAUCAUUUGGGGGGAGGAGAUGUUAGUUAAUCAUAUCUCAAUUUACAGGGGUUAAAGAGAAUGGAUCCGACUGUGAGCAUGAUGAUGCAACCUACCAACCUUUACCUUUUGCUGAGCUCUUUUGAUAGCAAAGAAUUCAAUCUCACUUAUCGGCUUUCUGCAGGCAAAAUCAGUUUCUUUUCCAAUUGGGCUGUCAUUGGAGUUCUGCAAUUGCUCUUUGUUGCCGAGAUAAUCAACUGAGGUAAGCUAUGCCUAUAGUACCAACUAGUACUUCGCACGGGAGAAGCCUCCACCCAGCAACAGACGUCUUUUCCAUUCGUUAGUUAAGUACUGAAGAAGGUGAAAAACAUUGGAAGGCUUUCGAAACACGUGUUAUUGAGCAUAAUGUCCUCAUCGUGGCCAAACACUACACGCGUGUGGCAAUGCAAAGGAUGAUUUCAUCCGUGAUUUUUCUAUUGAGGAACACAGAAGAAUAUCUAAUGUGGUGUACAGUUAAACUGUAACAUCGUGCGUCGGCAUUGACCCGAUUUUUAAAACCUUUUUAAGGAGAUUAGGUCCUCGAUUACUGCUGAUAUACAGGUCAAAGAUGAAAUAGCGUUAUUUAUAGAUAUUCUUUCGGGUAAUAUAAGUUUUUCGCAUUUCAGCCAACAGAUGUCGACCCUACCGCUUUUGUGUCGGUGACUCGAGAGGACGUUCUGCUCUUGGAUCUGACGAAUUGUGGAUAUGAAUGUACAAAAUCUUUGAUGACUGGAUUUGACACUCAGAACUGUUCCUGUUAGAAAGUGGAUCGAGGCUGAUGCAUACUUUCUUGUCAUAAUGCAAGAGAAAUAGGGUAAAGUUGCUGAAGCUGCAGACAUUCUCCAAGAACGUCUGUUCAAGACCGAUGAUUCUAUGGAAAAGCUAGAAAAUUGAACAGGUUGAGCUUAUCCUGAAAUGAAUGAGAUUGUUUUUUCUUCAUCUGCACUCAGAUCAUUUUGAAGAAGAUAAGUGUCAGAUUUGUUUUUAGAGAAACAUGUGCU